GAUGAACGCUGGCGGCGUGCCUAAUACAUGCAAGUCGAGCGAACAGACGAGGAGCUUGCUCCUCUGACGUUAGCGGCGGACGGGUGAGUAACACGUGGAUAACCUACCUAUAAGACUGGGAUAACUUCGGGAAACCGGAGCUAAUACCGGAUAAUAUAUUGAACCGCAUGGUUCAAUAGUGGAAGACGGUUUUGCUGUCACUUAUAGAUGGAUCCGCGCCGCAUUAGCUAGUUGGUAAGGUAACGGCUUACCAAGGCAACGAGGCGUAGCCGACCUGAGAGGGUGAUCGGCCACACUGGAACUGAGACACGGUCCAGACUCCUACGGGAGGCAGCAGUAGGGAAUCUUCCGCAAUGGGCGAAAGCCUGACGGAGCAACGCCGCGUGAGUGAUGAAGGUCUUCGGAUCGUAAAACUCUGUUAUUAGGGAAGAACAAAUGUGUAAGUAACUAUGCACGUCUUGACGGUACCUAAUCAGAAAGCCACGGCUAACUACGUG
rnacentral:rRNA from 1 species